CCCGAAGUUAAAGAUAGCACAGCUCCGAAUCACAUCACAGGCUGGAAAGAACGUCCACUACACAGGCUCAUCCCGGCUGUGUUCCCAGUGCGUGAGGGAAGGCCUGACGCAGAGGAGCUCUUUAAGUAUUCGCUGAAUGAAUAAAUGAACUCACACGGUUCCUUCUGAGAAGAGCAGGGAGGCCUGUGCGGCCGGAUCAGAGAUUAGAAGUGUUUUAGGAAAGCACAUGGCCCAUCAGAAGACUGCACUUCCCAGUUACCCUUGCAGCCGGAGAGGAGCCAAGCCCAAUGAAAUCUGCAAAUACCGGAAAUUUCCGGUUCACGCCAUUCAUGAGGAGAAGCGUGUUUUUCUCUUCAGUUUCCCUUUCUUGUUCAGUAGGCAUGUUUUUAUCUUUACCAAUCGCCUAGCAGAGAACAGUGCUAGAGAAGCACUCAAUAAAUAAUUAUUAUAAGUGAAAC